UCCCCAGUGGCGCAAUCGGUUAGCGCGCGGUACUUAUAAUGCCGAGGUUGUGAGUUCGAUCCUCACCUGGGGAA